AAGGGAGACCUAAUUCCGGUAGGAGACGAAAAAAAAGUAGUCCCUACCAAGAAUCAAUCCCAAAAGGUCGAAGCGAGGCAAGAUUGGCUUUCAAACUAGGUUCUGGGUUCAAACAAGACCUGAAUCAGGAACAAGGGCUAUUAGCUCAGGUGGCUAGAGCGCACCCCUGAUAAGGGUGAGGUCCCUGGUUCGAGUCCAGGAUGGCCCACCUGCACAGGUGGCAAAAACAAAGAAGCGAGGAAUCAGCACCUUAUCUUACUCAUAUAGUAAGAGAGAAUGCUGGCUCUGAGUAAAGAGUCCAGAGGAACCUUGAAAACUGCAUAGAGCUAGGUGAAAAAGCCAAAAAAGAAGACCGCAA
rnacentral:tRNA from 1 species